GUAUCAGUACUGCUUGGUCUCCCGUGUGUUCCCACUGUCUGGCGUGCUGUUUCAGAUGCCUGCAUCAAGGGAUUAUGUACAUGCUGUCACACGCCAUGGCUGUCUUGUCAGGCAUCAU